CGUAGGGACCAAGCGUUGUUCGGAUUUACUGGGCGUAAAGGGCGCGUAGGCGGCAAUUCAAGUCAGUUAUGAAAUCUCCGAGCUUAACUCGGAACGGUCAACUGAUACUGCUUUGCUAGAGUACAGAAGGGGCAAUCGGAAUUCUUGGUGUAGCGGUGAAAUGCGUAGAUAUCAAGAGGAACACCUGAGGUGAAGACGGGUUGCUGGGCUGAUACUGACGCUGAGGCGCGAAAGCUAGGGUAGCAAACGGGAUUAGAUACCCCGGUAGUCCUAGCCCUAAACGAUGUAUGUUUGGUGUCUGGAGUUUUUAUUCUCCGGGUGCCGUCGCUAACGUUUUUAACAUACCGCCUGGGGAGUACGCUCGCAAGAGUG
rnacentral:rRNA from 1 species